UUAUUUUCAGUCACAUGCACACUAUUAUACACUUCUGUCAAAAUACGAGAAAAGAAGAAAAACCAAAACAACAUUUUCAAGGCAGGCCGCAGCAGAUGAGGAAAUUCGAACUUCGAGGGCAGUUUUUAUUCGAUUUUCUCGAUUUUUAUUACUUUCUUCCCGGUACCUAAAAGUGUAAAAAUGCACCAGCUGAAGCUUUGAGUUUUGUGACCUAUCGGAUAUUACGGCUAACAAGGCAGAUCAUUGUAGAGAUGCAGACUUUUCGAAUGGUGAAUCGCGUGAUUGGCCGCAUAUUUUCGGAGAUCCUCAAAAAAUCGAUAGUACUAUGGUCGACUGGAGGCAGCUUCCAGUCGCGUGUAGAUGGUACAGAAAGUAGAAAAAUGUUUAUAUUUCUGAUUCCUUCAAGGCUAAUAAUGGGUGCAAAUCCAUGCUUCCGGAGAUGAGGGAAAUAACAACCGACAGAAACAUGCAUGUACGAAAGAAUUUCAGGUUCAAUUCGUGUACUAGUGCUGCGACCAAUCGUAUGAAACCCUUUGCCAAUAAGUGUAAACCUGCGAAAGUUGCUAUUAAAUUUGUCAUGAAUACAAGUUUCCAUAAUAUGUAGAA